UGACUGACUGAAGAGUUUGAUCCUGGCUCAGGAUGAACGCUAGCUACAGGCCUAACACAUGCAAGUCGAGGGGCAGCAUUAUUUGUAGCAAUACAGAUAGAUGGCGACCGGCGCACGGGUGAGUAACGCGUAUCCUACCUUCCCCUGUCUCGGGUAUAGCCUUCCGAAAGGAAGAUUAAUCCCCGAUGGCGUCAAGAGGCCGCAUGGCAUCCUGACUAAAGCGUUUGCGGACAGGGCUGGGGGUGCGUCCCAUUAGGUAGUUGGCGGGGUAACGGCCCACCAAGCCAACGAUGGGUAGGGGUUCUGAGAGGAAGGCCCCCACAUUGGAACUGAGACACGGUCCAAACUCCUACGGGAGGCAACAGUGAGGAAUAUUGGUCAAUGGCCGAGAGCUGAACAGCCAAGUACCUGGAGGAUACUGCCCUACGGGUGUAAACCCU
rnacentral:rRNA from 1 species